rnacentral:tRNA from 1 species
UCCCUGGUGGCUCAGAUGGUAAAGAAUCUGCCUGCAAUGCAGAAGACCUGGGUUCGAUCCCUGGGUCGGGAA